CUUUCCUCAAUGCUGAGAGGUUCAGGAGAUAGACACAGAGGAAAAGAAAAAGGAAAGACAGAUAGCACCUCCUCCCUAUUUAUUUCUUAGUAGUACCUGCCUGUUCUUUGCUUCUUCCUCCUCUCAUUCACCUAUUUUUUCCUUCCUCUUCUUCUGUGCUUUUACAGACUCAGGUGGGAGAUGGGAUGUGGAAAUUCCUCACAAGCCACCACCACCAACAGCAGCAGCAGCAGCAGCACUGGAGGUCAUGUUGAGUCUUCAUCAAAGGUACAGAAGAGUCUGUGCCAGGAGAUGACAAAUGGCAG